CGACCCGCUGAUAGUCGGGUAUAUAAACCCGACUUGACAAUCGAGCGACUUACUAGGCGUGGCGAACGCCGUAAGAUAGGAAGACUGGACUUUUGAGGGAUUUUUUUUCGACUUUAUAGAACUGGAGUGGAAAGUAAUUACAACUUGAUAAACGGGGAGGUAAUUCGCCUGCCAGUAUGGAGCGUGUAGCACCACCGCCAGGGUGGUUUGCCUUUGUCUUCCUAGUAGUCUUAGUAUCGACCGUACAGUCUCAAACACCCUGCACAAGAAGCGACUUUUUUGGCACCAACAAUCAGCUGAGCGUUAGCGUAGACGAAAGUGAUACUCAACCAAGCAAUAGUGAAAACUACAGAGCUCGGCUUCCUUUGAAUGGUAAUUAUGGUCAGAGUGGAUUGUCAGUUACACUGAGUCAAGAUACUUCUGACCUGCAACCCAACAAUUACUUCCAGCUGCAGAAUGUAGGGGGAACUGGCAUUUAUGUCCGACUCUUCAAUGCCAUAGACAGAGAUGGGGGUUUGGAUGGAAUUCCACCAGAGAGGAACAGUGUUGUCUUCAGACUGACCUGUACAUGGAAUGGGCAGCAGACCCUGUAUGACCUGACAAUUGUACUGAGUGAUGUUAAUGACAACACACCAUUCUUCAGGAAUCUUCCAUCUACUCUGUCAGUCAGUGAGAAUAAGGUUGUAGGUACAUCAGUAUUUGAUGUGACUGCUACAGAUAGAGACAGUGUUCUUGUUAACAACGGUGCUGUGCGGUAUUCAAUCAUCAGUGGGCAAACUGCGAACAAAUUUGCUAUAGAUGACGUCUCUGGUGUAAUUACUGUGAAUGAGAAAUUGGAUUUUGAGGCCCGCACUUUCUAUCCACUUACAAUUCAAGCAAGGGAUUUGGGAACCCCAUCAAGAUCUAGCACAGCUUUCUUCAAUAUUACUCUGAUAGAUGAAAAUGACAAUUCUGCUGCAUUUAUUAGGACUAACUGUCAGACAGACAAUAGAGGAUUUUGUGUUGGUGCGAGAUACUCUACCAACAUUAUAUCUGGAGCAAAUACUGCCGGAACACUAAGUAUUAGCCCUGACAACAUCAGGGCCAGGGAUAAGGACACUCUUAAUGCACCAAUCACCUUUAACAUCUUUAGAACAUCUCCAACUGGAUAUGAAAAUGCCUUCACCAUCAACACGUCUCCAUUUUCUAAUAAUGGAGAAUACACGGCAACUGUCAGUCAAGUUCAGUCAAUUAACAGGAAUAACCUUGCCUCGACUGAAGGACUUAUUGUUGUUACUGUUCAGGCUGUUGAAACCAAUGUGCUAACAUACAGGUCAUAUGCAUACUUGGAUGUAUUUGUGAGUGUUGCCGACCAGUUUGCGCCUACUCUUUCAGUAGUUGGUGGAGGUACAUCUGGUACCAUCUCUGAAGGUGCCGACAUUGGUGAUCUUGUCAGACGUACCAAUUUCUUUGGCAACAACAACAACUUUUUGCGGUUAACAAUUAGCGAUAAUGACUAUUAUUCCACGGAGACUCUGCCAGCUAAUGGCUACACCAUGUCAACAAAUUUAGCAAAUCUGUUUACCGUAGAUACUGAUGGAUUUAUCAGGGUAUCAAAUACAGCUGGCCUUGACUUUGAGACUGCUACUUCAAAUCCUAUCCUCUUAGAGGUUGUUGUAGCAGAAACCACAACAGCACAGCGUCGUAGCUCCACGCUUACAUUGACCAUCUCAAUUGAAGAUGCAAAUGAUAAUGCUCCCGUCUUCCCUGCAGCUGCCUAUGAGACUUCAUUCCCACAAGGCACUUACACCUUCGAUAACUUUGGAAACACUCCACGUGACGUGGUCACUGUAGUGGCAACUGAUGCAGACACAAGCUUUCAGUUUCGACAGAUCACAUACAGUAUUACAGCCGUUAGUAAUAAUGGAGAGAGCCUGUUUACAAUAAACUCAGCAUCGGGUCUUAUUCAGGCUGAUGGUACAUUUGUACCUGCCUCAUAUACAAUAACAGUGAGAGCAACAGAUGGAGAAAGGAGUUCACAGACUGCUGUUUUGGUUACUGUGACAGAAACUGGGGUUUCACAACCAUCAUUCCCUGCUACCACUGUGAACAUCCAAGUGAGUGAAGGGGCUCUUUCCGGUACUUCUGUGUUCCAGGGAGAUGCCUCCGAUCCUGAUGGAGACACUUUGACUUAUGAGAUGACCAAUGUUAACUUCAACCAGAAUCAGUUUAAUCCAGACUUCGUCAUUUCAUCAAGUGGAUUGGUAACAGUACGGACAUCUGGUGUUACACAGCAGACAAAAGUGCUGAACAGAGAAUCUAUCUCGUCCUACGUGUAUCGUAUUUCAGCUAGAGAUGGCAGUUUCCUGUCGGCCACAAUGACAUUGAGCAUUACAAUAACCGACAUCAAUGACAACUCACCCUUCUUCAUAAAUGCGCCAUAUUUCUUUACCGUCAAUGAAAAUUCCCCAAGUCAAUCUGUUGGGACAGUAUCUGCAAAUGAUAAUGAUGAGGCUGGUACCCUAAACUCUCAAAUAUUCUAUCAGCUGCCAGGAAACAGUCAAUUUACAAUCAAUUCCCAGUCAGGAGAAAUAUCUACAAUUGGGUCUCUGAAUUAUGAGGCCCAAAGUCAGUAUGUGUUGAUUGUUGAAGCAGUUGACAGCCCAGUUGACAGACGGACGGGAACAGCCACUGUGACCAUCAACGUUAAUGAUGUACAAGAUCAAGUUCCAGUGUUUGUUGAACCCAAUGUCGUCGAGACUGUGAAUGAAAAUGCUGGUAUUGGAACAGUUGUUGCCCUUAUUACGGCUCUGGAUGCAGACAGUAUCCCAAACAUAGAGUACAUCUUGUCGGGAACAAACAGCGAUGAUUUCACUUUAACAAACUUCAAUGGAGUUGCCCGGAUAACAGUUCAGCGUUCUCUAAACUAUGAAACACGUCCUACAUAUAACCUGUUUUUGACCACUGCUGAUGGACAGGGUAGCAAUAUAGCUGGAGCCACAGCUUCACUUGUCAUUAAUGUUCUGGAUGUAAAUGAGUUUUCUCCAGUGUUAUCUAUACCAGACGGCUCGCUUAAUGUUGUUGAGACAACUUCCCUCGGUACAGUGUUGACCCAGGUUGCUGCUACAGACCAAGAUAACCCAACAAACAACCUGGGAGCGGGUAUAACUUACCGUAUUGUGAGCGUAGUUCCAGCAUCGGGUGCAGAUCUGUUUACCAUGCAGCCAUAUGAUGGACGGUUAUUCCUUGUUAACAGUGUAGUUGGGGAUAUCAACAGUCCUUACACUUUAACUAUAGAAGCUCGUGACAAUGACGUCAAUGCAAGAACUGAUACAGGAACCAUAAGGAUCACUGUAGUGCGCAACCAGGGCCCACCAUUUUUCACCUCCAACGGCAACUAUUUCCAAACUGUGGAUGAAACAUUGCCAGUGCUGAGUAGUGUACUGACUGUUACUGCAACCGAUUCAGAUUCUCAGACGGAUCCAGUGACGUACUCAUUGACCUUUUUGGACAUCGGAUCCUUCUACUUCAGUAUUGAUUCAUCGAGCGGACUUAUUUCCGUCAGGAGGGAACUCACAACGGAUGAUGCUCUCUCUUACAGUUUCCGUGUUGUAGCCACAGAUUCUGGAGGCCUGUCGGCAACAGCAACUGCUGUGGUCACAGUAAACAGAAAUCUGAAUGAUCCAGCAUGGUUUGAUACAACAUACAAUAGAGAAAUAGACGAGAACUACCCGCUACAGACUGAAAUCAUCUCGCUAGCAGCAAAUGACCCAGACACCCAAGCACCACACAAUUCACUUGUUUACAGUAUUGUGACAUUCAGCAAUAAUGCUGCAAACUACUUCAGUAUCUCGAGCAGCGGGUCGUUAACUCUAACAAACACGUUAGUAGGAACAAACGUGGAUACAUGGACGUUUGAAGUGACAGUGAGAGAUCAAGGCCUGCCAACCUCAAGGUCAGCUGCUGGUAGAGCAACUGUAACCAUUACCGUGAGAAGGAAUGAGUUCUCUCCCUUGUUCUUUAACUCCACGUACUAUGCUGUUAUCCUGGAGACAGCAAGCAUUGGAUCACAAGUAGCUGAAGUGUCGGCUCAGGACCAGGAUACCAGUUCACAGUUCAAUCAGCUCUCAUUCCAAGUGAUUGGUGAUGACCCUGCACCAACAUACUUCAACACUGGUACUGUGUUCCAAGGACGUGCACAAAUUGUCGUUAGGUCGAACCUGGCAUCAGGAGAUCGUGAUAGAUAUUUUGUUAGAGUACUGGCAAGAGACAACGGAUCUCCAGCACGGUCGGCGACGGCAGUUGUUGUUGUUGAUAUUCAGCGUAACUUCCAAGCCCCUGUCUGGGAUAGGAGGAUAUAUGGUGCAACUAUAUCAGAGAUUCAGAGCUUUGGCGUUCCCUUCGUAGAGGUGUUGGCAACUGAUGGUGAUUCCCAGGCACCCCACAACACGGUAAACUAUGCCUUGGAGUCAGCAAAUUACAAUACAAUCAAUGGCGUAGUGGACGCUAUAGCAUACUUCCAGGUGAACCCAUCAAGUGGAGAGAUCAGCCUUAGACAGUCUCUAACCAUUGAUGAUAACAAUCCAUCUACAUACACGUUGACACUAAGAGCCUUUGACCUGGGAACACCUCAGCGUGAAACUACCCAGAGAGCCUCUGUUACAGUGAAUGUUCUACGCAAUAACAACCCUCCUGUAUUCAUCCGCACACCUUAUGGUACUACAAUUAGCAAGGACCAGAGCACAACUCUCAGUGUUUACACAGUGACGGCAACUGAUGCAGAUUUCAGUACUGCAAAUAAUCUGUUUGGAGUAGUUAGAUACCAACUUGUUGGUGUUGGUUCUGCCCUUAAUUUCUUCACUGUUGAUGAUACCACUGGAGUUAUCUCCCUUACCCAGAGCAUUGCCGGAGAUACAGCCACAGAGUAUACUCUGAUCGUACAAGCUUAUGACAAUGGUUUUCCAGCAUUAUAUGAUACAGAGGUUGUAACCAUCACUGUGAAUCGUAACACGGAAAGACCAGUUUUCGACCAAGAUAACUAUGUAGUAUCUAUUCCAGAGACCCAAACUCUUGGAAUAACAAUUGAAACUGUGAGAGCCACUGAUCCAGAUGCUCUCUUUGGAGGAAUCAACAAUGUGGAAUACUUUGCCACGGGCACUCAAAGGGCGCUACAAUAUUUCUUCCUGAAUCCCUCUACUGGAGAGGUGUCUGUGAGACAGUCUUUGCAAAAUGAUGUUGGAUUUGAUAAUGGACAGUACACUAUGACUGUAUUUGCUCGUGAUAAUGGAACCCCACAGCUGCAGAGUGCACAGGCUGCCACGGUCACAAUCAGUGUGAUUAGAAAUAACUUUGGCCCAGUGUUCCAGAACACGCCGUAUAGUAGAGAUAUUUCACAGAGCACCAGUUCAGGGACAAGUGUCUUCCAAGUACUUGCCACAGAUGCCGAUACAAACCAGUUCAAUGCUGUGUCCUACAGUAUCGUUGGCGAUAACGAGGCUCUCAAUCUGUUCAGCAUUGAUCAGAACGGCAAUAUCAGAACAACAGACAGUCUGUUUGCCCGUUCAGAGGCUUCAUACACGGUACGAGUUAUGGCUCAAGAUAAUGGUAUUCCAGCCCGCACAGCUUAUGAAGUUGUUGUGCUUACCCUUUCAAGAAAUGAGAACACUCCAUCAUGGAUCACUCCAUCCAGUUUUGGCAAUUAUCAAGACACCACUCAAGUACUAGAAACUGUCGGCUUCAACACACAGAUAUAUGAUUUCCAGGCUGUAGACAAUGAUAUUGCUGCUCCUUACAAUACUCUGAAGUUCACAGUGGUUGGAGACAACCCAGCACCUCUUUACUUCUCAGUUGCCGAGACAACAGGGGUGGUCACUCUGAGAUCAGCUCUUUAUGCAGACACCACACAAAAUCAGUAUAUUCUUCAAGUCACCCUUGGAGACCAAGAUGGUAGAGCGAACGUUAAUACAGCCACCCUAACCAUCAAUGUGAUACGCAACCAGUUUACACCACGCUUCUUAAACUUGCCAUACUCGUUAACAAUCAAUGAAAAUUCUGGAACCACCCAGACUAUAUUCACUGUUACAGCUACUGAUGAUGAUCCUCCAAACACAUUUGAACAAGUUAGAUAUCAGGUGACUGGAGACGGAAAUGCACCAGUAUUUUUCUCUGUUAAUGAGUUCAACGGUGGUAUCUCCCUCACACAAAGCCUUGCCAAUGUUGCUCAGGUCACAUACAAUCUUCGCAUUACUGCCUAUGACAAUGGGAUACCCAGCAGAAGUAAUAGUACCAUAGUUGUUAUAACUGUUGAUCGCAACCAGAAUGCACCAUUCUUCCAGCCAGUGUCUUACUCUGCAAGUGUAGCUGACAGUGGAGCUCUUGGAGCAGAUGUUGUUCAGGUCACAGCUCGUGAUCGGGAUACCGUGGCUCCAUAUAACACUGUCCGGUAUCAACUUCGCGCUACCACAGGUAGUGAAUAUUUCUUCAUUAACGAGGAAACUGGAAUGAUCUAUGUGGCUAGGAGUGUUGCUCUAGAUUCUCAGGCACCUCAAUCCUACAACCUCCAGGUUGGUGCUUAUGACCUUGGGACACCAUCCAGAUCUGCGGCCCAAGAUGCUUCAGUGUUUAUUUCAGUAACUAGAAACCAGUUUGCUCCCAUUUUUAGUGAUGAUGUAUACAAUGCACAGAUUGAACAGACAAGAAAUGUGAAUAGCUUUGUUCUCCGUGUCACAGCAACAGAUGCAGAUACAGUGUCCCCAUUUGGAGAUGUGACAUAUCGACUGAUUGGGGAUGAUGCUGGAGUUACUUACUUCAACUUUGACCCUACAUCACGCAAUGUAUCUGUGGCACGCCAGCUAACCCUUGAUACAGCUACAUUCUAUCAGUUGCGUAUUGAGGCACGUGAUGGAGGCUCCCCCUCAAGAAGUGCAACUGCUCUUGUACAGAUAACUGUCCUCAGAAAUCUGUUCACACCUGAAUUCACACAACAGUUCUACAAUAUAACAAUAGAUGAGACCCAACAGCUUAAUCAGAAUCUUCUUCAGAUAAAUGCAAGAGAUGAGGAUGUCUCGGCACCACAUAAUACCAUUAUUUACACGAUGAGUAAUAACUUCAACACCCUAGCAUCUCAGUAUUUCACGGUUAACUCUGCUACAGGAGCUGUAACACUGAGGCAGUCUCUUCUGAAUGACAAUGCUGACACUCUUAGAUAUACAUUUACUGUCUCCAUUACUGACAAUGGCAUUCCACAACGUUCUGCGAAUAGUUUUGCCAAUGUUGAAAUCAACGUGAUUCGUAACACUCGGGCUCCAUUCUUUGUUGACACACCAUAUGAUAGAGAGAUAGAUUACACAGAAACUACCGGAUCUGCUAUCUUUACUGCUACAGCACGUGACAUUGAUGUUGCACCCUACAAUACAAUCACAUACGACCUGAUUGGUGAUGAUGAUGCCACAAUUUUCUUCAGUAUCGAUCCCAACUCGGGUAUUGUUCGUCUGCAACAGAAUAUUAUCCAGGAAUCAACUACACGCUACAGGUUGACUAUUCGAGCUCGAGAUAACGGAAGUCCAAGUCUGUUUGAUACUGAGACUACAUUCAUCACUGUUCGUAGGAAUUUGAACACUCCUCAGUUUGGAACAACACAGUAUGCUGUAACAGUCAAUGAAAAUACUGCUCCAGGAAUCAGCAUUUUACGUAUACAGGCUUCCGAUAGUGAUACUAAUAGUCCUAACAAUGCUGUACGCUACUAUUUUGAUCAAACGGUGUCUCGAUUCAGCCUGGAUUCUGAGACUGGUAUUAUCUAUGUAAGAACCAACCUGUAUGGUGAGACUACAGAAACAUUCACAUACAAUGCAUUUGCACAAGAUUUGGGAACUCCACAACUGACAAGUCAGUCGAUUCCCGUCAGUAUCACAGUUCAGCGUAACAACUUCCCGCCUGUGUUCAUUAAUGAGCCAUACUCUGCAGAUAUAACUGACGGGUUCGGGUUCGGAUCAAAUAUCAUCCGAGUUACAGCCAAUGAUGAAGAUAUCAUUUCACCAUUUAACACGAUCUCUUACUCAAUUAUUGGUGAUGAUGUUGCCCCCAGUCUGUUUGUGAUCAACAGUGCCACUGGCAUGAUCAGCUACAGAAGUAAUGCAAACGUUGGCAGUGACAGUACCUCAAUCUAUCAGGUGCGUGUAUUAGCCAUUGAUGGCGGUAUCCCAUCAUUGACAGACACCACGGUUGUGUACCUGAAUAUCACAAGGAACAGGUUUUCACCAGCAUUUUCACCAAUUCAGUAUACUGACUUAAUCCCAGAAAACCAAGCUCUUGGUGCAGAGAUUCUCAGAGUGACAGCUUUUGACCAGGACACUGCCUCACCCUACCGUGAUGUUGUGUAUAAUCUAGUUGGUAACAGUCGAGCUCUUGAGUACUUCCAAGUUGGAACUAACAAUGGAGUGGUAUCACUGAUCAAACCUGUGUACCAGGAUACAGAUGACACACCGUACACUUUGACCAUUACAACUCGUGACCUUGGCACACCUUCUCGUGCUGGUACCAACACGGCAACAGUAACUGUUAGUGUGUACAGGAACCAGUUCCCACCAGUGUUUCAACAAACACCAUACAGAACAACGAUUAAUAAGAACAUCAAUGCUGACCGAUCUAUCUAUAGAUUUACCGUCUCUGAUGCAGACACUCAGAGUCCCUUCAAUUUAGUAACAGUGUCGGCAAUUGGUGAUGAUGUUGCCCCAACAUUCUUCUAUCUUGAAACUGUUUCAACAAAUGUUUACAAUGUGCGAGUACAGAAUGUUAAUGACUUAGCAGAUGACACUGCCAGUGAAUACCAGCUGAGGUUGUAUGCUGUUGAUGGAGGUAGCCUUGCAUUUGGUUUUGGAAGCAGAACGGCCACUGAGGUUCUGUACAUCACAGUGAAUCGUAACACUUUCCCGCCUGUAUUCACAAACAUCAACAACAUUCAGACAACCAUCCAAGAAAAUGCAUUCCCUGGCACCUUCAUUGUUGACCUGAAUGCUACAGAUGCUGAUCCCACUUCCCCAGAAAACACAAUACGAUAUGAGAUAGUUGUAGACAACCAGGCCUCGAAUUUCUUCUACAUUAACCCAAUCUCGGGAGUGAUCUCAUUGCUUGCCUCAGUGGAGAACACUUUUACAAGCUUCUACAGGAUCCAAGUGCGAGCCUUUGAUGGAGGUUUCCCAACAUUGUCUGACACAACCUUCGUUGAUGUUAAUGUGAAUAGAGUUACAGAAACACUGGCAUUCUUUUCCAGUAACUACGAGGAGACAAUUUCGGAGAACGAAGCUGUUGGCUCUAAUGUGCUUACAGUUUCAGCCCAGCCAGGACCUGGAAUCACCUACACCUUCCCUGGUUUUGUGGACAGCCCGCAGUACUUCAACAUGUCCAGCACAACAGGAACCAUUUUUAUACGCUCGGACCUGCGACUAGAUAAAAACAAAGUGGCUUCCUUCUCGUACCAAGUAAUGGCAACAAGAGCAUUCUCCUCUGGCACCCAGACCGCCUAUGCUACUGUUACAAUCAAUGUACAGCGUAACCUGAACACACCGCAGUUUGACAGACAACUGUACGAGGCUACAGUAUCCGAGUCUUUACCUCUUGGAAGCAGUAUUAUACAGCUGACGGCCAAUGAUAAUGAUGAUUUCGAUGUUUUGGUUUUCCGUGCUGAACAGCAACAGUUUGGUAAUCCUAUUGACAAUUUCUACGUAGGACCAUUCUCAGGACUUAUUUCCCUUAGACAAGUACUGACUAACACUGGAACAAACACAUAUCAGUUCCUGGUGUUUGCCCGUGACCAGUCAUCACCAGAAAGGACUGGAACAGCUACUGUCCGGAUCAAUGUACUGCGCAGCAGUACUCCACCUGCAUGGGUGAACAAUGCCCCAUACAGUACAGUGAUAAACCUGGGCACAGUCGCAGGAACCACAAUAUAUACACAGUCUAGAGCAGUUGACAGUGAUUUACAGGGACGGAUACAAUAUGGACUCACUGGGCAGUACUUCUCGGCAGCAUUUUACUUCAUGAUUAAUGAAACAACGGGAAAUAUCAUGCUGCGUAACAACCUGGUCAACGACAAUAGUGUCUCCUACACGCUUGGUCUGCUAGCCUAUGACACAGCCUAUCCAAGUCAGGUUGCCUACACUAACAUCACAAUCAGUGUAAACAGAAAUCCAAGUGCUCCGACGUUCGACAACCGGGAUUAUGAGAGGACAAUAACAGAGGACUAUCAGCUAGGCUUGAGUUUAGUGCAGCUGGACACCUCUGAUGCUGAUGGGCAUACAGUUAGGUGUGACAUUGUUGGAGUUAAUGCACCUAAUGUAUUUAACCAACCAUCCAACCUGGGUGACUAUUUCUACUUGAACCCGUACAACUGCCUACUUACUCUACGUGAAUCACUGACCACAAUCGGUGUCAAUGCUGUCCAGCUGACCGUCAGGGCUACCGAUGAUGGAAUCCCAAACAGGCCAUCUACCUUCAAUGCUCUGGUGACAAUCAACAUCAUCAGGAAUGAGAACGAUCCAUUCUUUAUUAAUACACCAUACAUAACGACUAUCCCAGAAUCCACUGCCCUUGGAACCGUUGUUAUCACAGUGACAGCCCGUGACAAUGACAACCUUAACCAGGCCCUUAACUAUGUGCUCAUUGGUGAUGACUCUACAUCAACGUACUUUUCAUUCAAUGCAACUAACGGACGUAUAGCUGUAUCUCGGUCGUUACUAGAGGAGAAUAGAGAUUUCUACAUUGGAAGGAUUGUUGCCUAUGACAAUGGAUCUCCUCCAAGGAGUGCUACAGUUACUGCUAGAAUCAACAUCAACAGAAAUGAGAAUGCCCCGAUUUUCAGCCCACAGAAUUAUGAAGAGUCUGUCCUAGAGACUGAAUCAACCAAUUUCCCUAUUUUGAGGGUAACUGCAACAGAUGCUGACAGAAUUUCACCAUGGAACAGUGUAACUUACUCCAUACAGACUUUCAAUCUGAACACUCAAGUGAACACAUAUUUUGAACUAGAUAGUAAUACUGGUGAUAUCAGAGUCCGUAUUCCACUCUAUAAUGACAACUCUGACACCUCCACUUACACAUUCACUGUGACAGCAAGGGAUGGAGGAGGCAGGACAUCAUUCCAGGAUGCCCAAGUUACAAUUAACGUGAUCAGGAACUUGUUCGCUCCACAGUUCCAAAACACCCCAUACUCUAUUGUUAUCCCAUUUACUGUAAACAGUGGGUUCACAGUAUUUGAUGUUAAUGCAACAGAUGCUGACAGUGUGGAUCCAUAUAAUAGAGUGACAUACUCGAUUAUCGGAGAUGACCCUGCACCAAACCGUUUCUUCAUCAAUCCCUCAAGCGGCAUUAUCUCGUCCAGUACACAAGGGCUUGUCAAUGACGUCAAUUCGUUCUAUGUGAUCCGUGUUCUGGCUCAAGAUGGUGGUACCCCACGUUUGUCCUCUACUACAACAGUAUAUGUUGAUGUUGAGAGGAACCAGUUUGCACCAGUCUGGCAGCCACAGAAUUACACAGUGACAGUAAAUGAGAUCCAGGACCUUGGAGUUACCAUUCUUACAUUAAAUGCAUUUGAUCAGGAUAUCAGAGCUCCAUACAGUACUCUGGUAUACAGUGCUGUGGACAGAUUCGGUAACAGUCUAGCAGCUGAAUAUAUUGAUGUCACAGUGAAUUCUGGAGAAAUCUAUGUCAGACGGUCAUUGACACAGAUCUCUGAAAAUACACUAGUGUUGGAAGUGUCUCUACGUGAUGAUGAUCCAGAAACACCAAAGAAUGCUGUGAGAAAUGCUUUCGUAACUGUGAACAUAGUUCGUAAUGAGUUCAGUCCAACAUUUAACAAUGUACCGUGUGAUGUGACGUUACAACAGCUGAACACGAACCAGUUCUUCCUAACCCAGGUUACAGCAACAGAUGGCGACAGUGCCGCAACACCUUUCGGUCAGAUCCGCUAUGAUAUUAUUGGAGAUGACAAUGCACUGACCUUGUUCAGUAUUGAUGAAAUCAAUGGAAGAAUAAAUGUUGUUGGUGAUCUGUCUGCAGCUGGCUCUGAACUUUUCAAUAUUCGUGUACAAGCACGUGAUCUUGGUGCACCUGCCAGAUAUGGCUAUACAGUUUGUCAAGUCAGCGUGCGCCAGAACUUCCAGGCUCCAUUCUUCGUGAACAAUUCGUACACUGCUACUAUAGCUGAAACAUUUUUCCUUGGCGACACUAUCUUGACUACUACAGCCAGAGACAAUGAUCCAUUGGCUCCACACAAUACAGUGCGUUAUCAACUAACACGAGAUCCAGAGGAUUUGGAAUGCUUCAAUAUCAACCAAGUUACAGGAGAACUUUCUCUACGCAGAUCACUGCUGUAUUCUCCGUGUACAGCAUCUGUUUUCUUUAUGCGAGCACAAACCUAUGAUCUCGGUACACCGCAGCUUACUGGAGCAGAAGUGAACAUCACAGUGUUCGUGAUUAAAAACGAUAACCCACCAUUCUUUAUUAAUGCACCAUAUUUCCGGUCUCUGGAUGAAGAUACUGUUAAUGGAGAGUUGGUCUAUGACGCAAGUGCCAAUGAUGCAGACACACGAGCACCAUUCAACACACUAACCUACUCCAUUAUUGGUGAUGAUACUUCUCCAAGCUUCUUUUCAAUUGACUCUGCAUCAGGGGAGGUCACUCUAGCAAGCAGAGUGGACUUUGACACAGAAACUCAGUAUAAGGUGAGACUGCAAGUAAAUGAUGGUGGCAGUCCAUCCCGUUACAACACAGCCAUGCUUACAGUCACUGUGAACAGAAACUUGUUUGCACCUGCAUUCAAUCCAGUGGAAUACAAUGUGACCAUAUAUGAGGAUCAGGUUCUGGGAGAGGAAAUUGAACGUGUUUUCGCAACUGAUCAGGAUGUCCGAAGUCCUCAUAACGUCGUCCGAUAUGAAGCACAAGGAUCGUUCUCAGGAAAUGCUCUUACAUACUUUGAUGUUCGUGAAACAGAUGGUGUUGUCUAUGUUAGAAGGUCGCUUAGAGAAGAUAACUUCCAGCAGACAUCUUUCACACUGUUUGUGCGUGCUUACGACCUUGGUGUGCCAUCACGUGACGGCACGAACCAGGCAACUGUGAGGAUCACAGUCCUUAGAAACACCAACUGCCCAAUAUUCAGCAACUUGCCAGCUGAAAUUACAAUACCACAGUCUCAAAGCACCAAUGUCAGGAUAUUUAAUGUCUCUGCUUUUGACAAUGAUGCUGCUGGUCGGUUCAGUGCAUUGACCUACAGUUUAGUUGGUGAUGACAAUGCCCCUGUAUUGUUUAGGAUAGACCAGAAUGGAUUUGUGUUUGUAACAACAACCGGACUGAUAGCUGAUAAUGAUGCCCUCUACAGGCUUCGUGUACGAGCAAGUGAUGGUGGAUUUAUACCCUGUGUAAGGGAUGAAGUGUUGACAGUCUAUGUUGAGCGAAACCAGUUUCCACCUGUCUGGUUCCCCAGUGCCUUGUACCAAACUACAAUACUUGAGACCCACAAUGUUGGCACACCAGUGUACACGGUGCAAGCUUCAGACAAUGACAAUCAGGCACCUUACAAUGUUGUCGGCUAUUACAUUGUUUCUGGAUCUCUAAACAGUGACCUAUUCUAUGCCGACCCAACAACUGGACAGAUCUACCUCAGAACCAAUAUUAUUGGCACAUCAGUUAACCAAUACAAUGUAUCUCUGAUAGCUCGCGAUGGUGGAUCACCAUCAAAAUCUGCCACUGCUCUGUUGAUCGUAAACAUCUUGAGGAACCAGGCUCCACCAGUUUUCCAGAAUGAGCCGUACUCAAGGACUAUUGACCGUAACCAGGGAACAAACACAAACAUUUUGACUGUAACGGCUACUGAUGCAGAUAUUCAGGCUCCGUACAACACAUUGCAGUAUGAUAUAAUUGGAGAUGGUGCAGCCCCCACAUAUUUCACCAUAGAUUCAGGCUCUGGUAGAAUAUUUCUGCAGUCUUCUAUUUCUGGAGAUGCUACUGACACAUACUACGUACGUGUAAGAGUGCAGGACGGUGGUAACCCACGUUUGUCAGAUAUUACAGUGGUGAUCAUUUCAGUGAACCGUAAUCUAUUCCCACCGGUGUUUGUACCACAGCAGUACAGUGAGACUAUCCUGGAUACACAGGCUGUUGGUCUGCCAAUCUUAUUCAUCACGGCAACUGACCGGGAUACUACAUCGCCACACAAUGUUGUGCGUUACGAGUUGCGUGGAGACAGUAACGAUCUGGACUACUUUAUGGUUGAUGAUGUAACAGGAGCUGUCAUGCUGCGCCGGUCUGUGUACUCCGUGGACACUAACAUCAACCAAAACUUUGCCUUCCAAGGAUAUGCCUAUGAUUUGGGUACACCAAAUUCCCUUGACACAUCCAUACUUGCAGAUAUUUUUAUCCAAGUUACACGAAACAACUUCCCUCCUCAGUUCAUCAACACACCAUAUACAACACAGAUUCAAGAGACUCACCCAGCUCUGACGUCCGUCUUUAAAACCACAGCUGUUGAUCAGGAUACUGUGUCUCCAUUUAAUGUGGUACGUUAUGACAUGAUCGGAGAUGACUCCACCUCAUCAUACUUCUUUGUCAAUGAAACAACCGGUUUAAUAAGCCUUAGAGCAAAUACUAACCUGGAGAGUGACACUACUACACUGUUUGUGGCUCGUAUCCGUGCCUACGAUGGAGGUUUCCCAAGCCGUUCAGCUACAGCCACUGUGAGGAUUAGUAUACUGAGGAACCUGUUUGCUCCAGUCUACAAUCAUACUGGCACUAUUACAGUAAACAUCUUAGAAACAGCUCCUAUUGGAACGUUUAUCUAUGACCUAAAUGCUUUCGACAAUGAUAGACAGGCACCAGAGAACACUGUAACAUAUUCUAUCCAGAAUGGUUUUAAUGAUGACUUCUUCUUGAUCAAUCCUGGCACAGGUGUAAUCACACUCCUGCGGUCAGUACUCAGCACAAACACGGACUUCUAUCGGGUUACUGUUAUUGCUCGAGAUGGCGGUACUCCACAGAGGUUUGCCACAAUUACUGUCAACGUUAAUGUCAUCCGUGAAUUAGACACACUCAGGUUCUCACUCAGUACCUAUUCUGUGACUAUCCCAGAGACUAGAAAUGUCAAUGAGUCCAUUAUCAGCACUUUGGCAAAUCCUGGGACACCACUGUACAGCAUCAUCAGUUUUGAGCCAGGCAUAACAUACUUUGCUAUCAAUCCAAACACUGGAAACAUUUUUGUACGAAGAGAUCUGAGAACAGACCCGGCAUACCUUACAUUCUAUAGGCUACAGAUUCAGGCAGUUGCACAAGGAACCGUCUCCCAACAAGUUGCAACAGCUUUUGUCAAUAUCACUGUUAUUCGCAAUGCUAACCCACCAGUGUUCUCCAGAGACAUCUAUUCACAAGUUAUUCAGGACACACUUCCAGUUGGCAAUAGCAUUGUCGAGGUCACUGCCAAUGACCUUGAUGGCGAUGUUGUGCGAUACUCUGUAAUUGAUGGAAUUGAGGCAAUGGAAUUUUUCUACCUUAAUCCAAGCACUGGAGUAAUUUCAUUGAGUAAAUACAUGUACAACAUUGGUGAAGACAGUUACAGGUUCACAGUUCAGGCCAGUGACCAGAGAAUCAACACGAGAACAGAUCAAGCUGAUGUUAUCAUACAGAUACAGAGGGACCAGUCUGCUCCACAGUUCCAGCAGGAGCCAUAUUCAGGUCUUGUGCGAGAGAUUGAUACCAAUGGAACUUCGAUUGAGCAGACGUCUUGUUUCGAUGCUGAUCUUAGGGGCAGAAUCGUUUAUCAGACUGUUGCAUAUACUGUGGCCUCUGCUUUCUUCUCAGUAAAUUCCGACAGUGGCAAUAUAUUCCUGUACGAUGGAGCUGCAUUGAGACAGCACUCUGGAAAUACUUACGUACUCCGUAUAGAAUGCUACGACUCUGCCUAUCCACAAGUAAGAGACGUUACAGAUAUCACCAUCACAGUUCGUCGUAAUCUUAACCCACCUGUAUUUGAUUUCCCAUCAUACACCCAGACCAUCCCAGAAACAUGGGGACUUGGGCAGGAAGUUGUACGUGUAUCUGCAACAGAUUCCGAUGGGGACAGGAUCACAUACUCUAUUACAGGAGAUACUUUCGGCAAUGUAAACCGGGCAAAUGAGUACUAUUACAUUGGAGCUGAUACAGGCAUCAUCUCCUUGAAGAAACCUCUGACGGAAGGAACUCAAGUGGAAGAUAAUAUUGGACUGUUGGCAUGUGAUAAUCGUGAAGCUGACCAGCAGUGUGGAACGUCGGUGGCACGCAUCACAAUCAUACGUGAUCAGUUUGCGCCAUUCUUCAUCAACACCCCCUAUUCCACAACAAUAAAUCGAAAUCAAGCUAUCAACACCACUGUACAGUUGACUUCAGCAAGAGACAAUGAUCUUGUUGGUGAGAUUAGAUACCUGUCUGACGGAAUAUAUCCUGCGCCAGUGUUCUUCAGUGUUGAUUUUGUAUCGGGAGCAAUCAGCUUAAGGUCUUCUGUUUUCACGGACUCUCUGCUGAACGUGUACUAUUUGAAGCUGCUAGCAUACGACACAGCGUAUCCAAAUGUCCGAGGCACUGCCACUGCUACCAUCUUCAUCAACAGAAAUCCAAACGCACCCCAGUUUGUGAGUCCAGCAUGUAGAGCUACCAUCUCUGAGGAUAAUGCUGUUGGUUCAUUAGUAUUCAACAACACUGCUACUGAUUUGGAUGGGGAUGUGUUGAGGUAUUCAUUUAGUACGAAUGCAGACCAAGUUGAUAGGGAUUAUUUCUACCUGGACCCUCAAAAUGGCAACCUUCUUCUGAAAAAUCCCCUAGCAAACACAGCAGUCUCUCAGUUCCAGUUCACAAUUAUAGCCAGUGAUCAAAGCAAUCCAGUCAAAACAGCUUCGACUAAUUGUCUGUUUGACGUUGCACGAGAUCAAGACCCGCCAGUUUUCACACGUGAGCCAUACACUGUUAACAUCCUUGAAAACCGUGCUGUUGGUGAAAGAAUUUAUCAAGUAACAGCUAUUGAUAGUGACUUGCGUGGUUCAAUUGUCUAUGGUGUGUCACCGAAUAACUAUAUUGCUGCAUACUAUUUCACUUUGGAUUCUGAUGAUGGUGAAGUGAGAGUGCGAAACAAUUUGAGGACUGACUCGACAGCUGCCUCAACAUUCGAGCUGAUUGUGACAGCCUACGACAGUCUGUCUACUCGUCUUGUUGCCACAUCAACAGUAACGAUACAGAUUACCCGUAACCCGAGUACCCCAGUGUUUGAACUAACAUCAUACCAGACAACAAUUAGUGAGUACUACCCGAUUGGACGAACCAUCUUUAACAUCACUGCAACAGAUCCUGAUAAUGAUAUUGUGCGAUACUCUUUUGUGCCACAAAAUGACAAUUUCAAUCCCAAUAUCAACCGUGGUUUGGACUUCUUCUACAUCCUUGAGAGCACUGGUCUUGUGUACUUGAAAACACCUUUGUACACAGAUUCAUUGGAGGAGAACCGAUUUACUAUGCAAGUUCAAGCACGUGAUCAGAGAUUUCCACAAGAGAGGUUUGCCACUGCUCCGGUUACAGUGUUUGUGACAAGGACACGUAACCCACCUAUCUUCACACAGACUCCUUAUUCCACCGUAGUCUCUGAAAAUGCUAAUGUAGGAACAUCUGUGUACAGAGUGACUGCAGUGGAUUCUGAUUUGGAGGAGAGAAUUGAGUAUGUUGUAGACGGAGACGACACUGCUCCAUACUACUUCAGAGUGGAUCCAGAAACUGGCGAGGUGUUCACAAGAAACAGCCUCAAAACUGGCAUUAGCUUCCAGUAUAUUCUGAGUGUACAAGCCUAUGAUACAGCCUAUAGAAGCCAGGUAGCCGAGGAGAUUGUCACAAUUUCAGUAACGAGGAAUGAGAAUGCCCCAGUGUUCCUCCAGUCACCAUACCGUGUUACCAUCAAUGAAACAAUUGCUCUCGGAAGUUGUAUCCUCACUGUCUCAGCAACAGAUGAUGACGGGGAUCGUGUGACAUACUCUGCAACAGGAGAGACUGACACCCUCGAGUAUUUCAGCCUCGGUUCAGACAGUGGUGUAAUCUGUGUGAGGUCUGUGCUCCUCACCAGUGCAAAGACGGAAUUCAGGAUGACCAUUGUUGCCAAUGACAACAGUAGUCCAGGAAAGACUGGUUUUGUAGAAGCUUUCAUCACUGUAAUUCGUGACCAGUUCCCACCACAGUUCAUCAGAACACCUUACAGACAAACUCUGGAUGAAUUUACCCAGACUGGUGCUUCUGUGUAUACAGUUACUGCCACAGAUCAAGAUCUUGUGGGCAGUAUUCGCUACAGUAUGAUUGGCGAUUAUCCGGCACAGAGUUUCUUCAGAUUGGACUCGGUGACAGGUAUCAUUACCACAACCAAUAGCUUGAGACUGGAUUAUGGAUAUUCAAGUUCGUACGUUGCACGGGUAACAGCAGUAGAUAACCUUCGACCUAAUCGUGUUGCUACAUCUACAGUACUGUUUACAGUGCUACGCAAUCAAAAUGGACCACAGUUCUUGUUGCCAAGCUACACCAACACCAUUGCUGAGACAAUAAAUGUAGGAACUGUCGUUCUCAAUGUGACAGCAGUAGAUGCAGACAUUAAUGAUAUAUUGACAUACUACAUCACCUCUCAGUCUACAUCAAACUUUGGCAACAAUCCACUAAAUCAGAACUACUUCUACAUUGACCAAUCAACUGGGCUUGUAUGGCUGCGCAGGACAGUGCUAAAUACAGGAAUCAACACCUUCUUCUUGAACUUCCGUGUGUGUGACAAUGGUCUACCAACUCGUUGUGCUAACAGCACUGGAACUAUAACUGUGACAAGGAACCAGUUCCCACCAGUCUUCUUCAAUGAACCUUACUCCCGAACAAUCCAGGAGACCUUCCCUAUUGGAGAUACUGUGUUAACAGUUACAGCACAAGACAAUGAUCUUGCUGGUGAUUUGGUUUAUGAGGCUAUCACCACAAGUUAUCCAUUCAGCGUAGAUCGUUUCAGUGGUGCCGUUUCACUGCAGUAUGAUAACCUCUUCUAUGGACCACAAUUCUACUCGUUCAGAGUACGUACAUAUGACACGGCUGAUCCAUCUAGAGUUGAUGAGAGCAACGUGACUGUCUCCAUUAUCCAGAAUCCCAGCGGUCCAAACUUCAUCCAAGAUCCCUACCAAGCAACAAUCUCAGACAACUAUGCUCUAGGACAGCUUGUUAUUAACUCAACGGCCAUUGAUCAGGAUGGGGAUGUCGUACGUUACAUCAUGUUGGGAGAUGCAUUGGGUCUAGAAUAUUUCUAUGUGACUCCAGACCUUGGAGACAUAUACCUUAGAAAGUCGCUGCUUGGAUCUACUAUCUCCAGAUUUACAAUCACAUUGAGAGCCUCGGACCAGCGUGUACAGGAGAGAACUGAUGAUGCUCAAGUGAUAAUCAAUGUUAUACGUGACAAUAACCCACCUUUCUUCAUUAAUGAGCCAUACCAAACCCAGAUAAGCGAGAACUCUUUUGUUGGGACCACAGUUGAUUCAGUUGUCUUUACUCGUGUGGAUGCCAGGGACAAUGACUUACAGGGCCAGUUGAGAUAUGAAGCAACUGGUAUUUAUCCAGCACAGUCAUUCUUCGCUAUUGAUCCAAAUGAUGGAGACAUCCAAGUAAUCAGAAGCUUGAGAGAGGAUGGUCUCAAUAGACAGUCAUAUAGUCUGGAGAUAAUUGUUUACGAUACCGCCUAUCCUAAUGCCAGAGACACGUCAACUGUCCUGAUUACAGUCCUCCGUGAUCAGGCAGGUCCAGUCUUCCAACCUUCGGCCACGUACCAGGUCACUAUUCCAGAAACCACUCCCAUUGGUAAUAGUGUAAUUGAUGUGGAUGCAAUUGAUACUGAUGGCGAUACAGUAACAUAUGAUUUAAUAAACGGUACAAAUUCUGGAAUGACCUACUUCUACCUUGAUAGAGAUACUGGAGAAAUCUCAGUAAGAAGGGACUUGGUCAGGGACCCAUUUAUCACUGUAUACCUCCUGACAGUUAGUGCAAGAAGUCGUUCACGAACUGCCUUUGCUACCGUGAGAAUUCUUAUUACAAGACAGAUAGACGAGCUUCCAUUCUUCAUCAACACACCUUACAGGACAACAAUAUUUGCUAACCGUCAACUUAAUGAUACCAUUCUGUCUGUGACUGCCAGAGACAAUGAUCUUGUUGGUGAAAUUCGCUAUUCGACUGUUGGAUACUUCCCCGCUACUGAUUACUUCAGAUUGAAUGAAAUAACAGGACAGAUUACAAUGUACAGGAGUGUUAUCAGUGAACAAUAUUCUUCAUUGCUCUAUGUGAUGACUGUUGAAGCUUACGAUACAGCAUUCCCGUCCCAGAGAGCACGUGAAGAUGUCUACAUAGACGUUGUACGCAAUCCCAGUGCCCCAGUCUUCCAGGACAACUUCUACACACGUACAGUAGGCGAGAACGUACCACUGGGCACACUGGUUGUGUGUUUAACUGCCACAGAUGCUGAUGGAGAUUUUGUGUCAUAUGCAAUUACUAAUGUACAAAAUCCCGGCAACCUGAAUGAAGUAGCUACUGAUUACUUCUUCAUGACAGCUGGAGGAUGUAUAUAUGUACAGAAGAAUUUAUUCUUGUCUGUCAGAGAUACGUAUUCAUUCACUGCUCAAGCACGAGAUCAUGCAUACCCAGAGAAAUUCGGUACAACAACCGUGCAGAUAACAAUUGAAAGAGAUGAAUUUCCAACUCGUUUUGAUCUCCAGAAUUAUGCCGUCACUAUUCAAGAGACUUCCCCUGUAAACAGUACACAGCCAAUCACAACUGUUCGUGCCACUGAUAAUGAUCUUAAGAGUGUGAUCUACUAUGAAGCUAUAGGUGAUGGGUCGGCACUGUCUUUCUUCCGAAUUGAUCAGGAUGGUCAGAUCUUUGUUAGUCAGAGUCUCCUAACAGAGAGUCAGACUAUCUACAAUUUGAGACUUCAAGCUUACGACACGUUCUAUCCAUUCAAUAUUGGCUACUCGAAUGUAAGAAUCACCGUGAUCCGUAAUCCACGAGCACCUCAGUUUAGUCUGCCUAGUUACGAAGUGACCAUAAAUGAGAACUUCCCACUAGGAGAGGUUGCUGUUGAUGUUACAGCAACUGAUUUAGAUGGCGACUAUUUGACAUUCCGAAUGCUGGGAACCAGUUUAGCUGCUACAGAAUACUUCCUUGUCAACUUUGAUACUGGUGAUGUCAUUGUGAGGAAAGAAUUGUUCCGCAAUCAAAACGUAGAUAGAUACACUAUGAUCGUUCAAGCCAAUGAUAACCGUGGAAUUAACACCAGAUAUACCAAUGUCUCAGUAACGGUUAAUGUUCGCCGAAAUCAGUCGCCAUUCUUCCUCAACACACCAUAUGGCUUUACAAUUUCUGAGCGUGCAGGACUAAAUGAUCAGCUGUAUCAGGUGACAGCAAGAGAUAACGAUUUGAUUGGUGACAUUGUCUAUGUUGUGCUUGGUGACUCGUACACACCUGGAUACUUCACGGUUGACUCUAACACUGGUGUAGUCACAGCCAUUUUAGAUCUACAGUUGGACAGAAGUCUACAAUAUACUUUGCGUGUUGGAGCCUAUGACAGUGAGGUGCCUAAUGAUGUUGCCACGGCAACAGUGCUCAUCACUGUGACAAGAAAUGACAAUGAGCCUAUCUUCCUGGAGGAACCAUACCAAACCUCGCUACCAGAGAGCACCCCGGUGGGAACCAGCGUGUACAGAAUCACUGCCAAUGAUGCUGAUGGAGAUGUAAUCCGCUACAGCCUUCUAGAUGUUAUAACAAACAAUGUUAUCAGAGACUAUGUCUACCUACAUCCAGACAAUGGUAACAUCUGGCUUGUCAAAUCUCUAACAGACUUUGCUGAAACACAAAUUGUGAUCUCAGUCCGUGCCUCAGAUCAGAGAAAUCCUGAGCGUGUUGAUGAUUCUGUAGUCAUUAUAAACAUCAUCAGAGACCAGAAUCCACCUGUAUUCACAAAUGAGCCAUAUCAGGUGACGAUUAGGGACAACCAGGUUCUGAACUCAAGUAUUUACACUGUUAGAGCCUUCGACCAGGAUCCACAGGGCCCAUUGAACUUUGAAACAAUUGGCUUGUAUCCAGCUCAGACAUUCUUUGAUGUGGAACGUUUGUCUGGUAAUGUAUACGUCAGACGCUCACUAACGGAGGACAGUGUUGGACGGGACCGCUACACCCUGCGUGUUAUAACCUAUGACUCAGCAGAUCGUAGAUUGCAAGACACAGCAGAUGUUACCAUCUCAGUGACGAGAAACCCAAGUACUCCUCAGUGGUCAGAAUCAACUUACACUAGGACUGUCAGUGAAGAGUAUUCAAUGGGAGUAGCUGUGCUCACAGUUCUAGCAACAGAUACUGAUGGGGAUUCUGUUUCAUACAGUAUUAUUGAGGAUACAACAGGCCCCAACUUGGGCGGCAGCAGCUCUUUAGACUUCUUCUUUGUCAACCCAUCUAGUGGAGACAUCUUCCUCAGACAGUCACUUACCAAUGCACCACUAGACCAGUACUCUUUCACAAUGAGGGCGACAGACAGCGGAAACCCACGGAGGAGUACAAUAGUUACUGUGAGGAUAUUUAUAACACGUGCAGUACUGCCAAUAUUCCGUAAUACUCCAUACUCAACUACGGUACAAGAGAACCAAGCUAAUGGAACACAGAUCUACAGAGUGACUGCCACCGACAGUGAUGGACAGGGUGUCAUGAUGUACAAUGUUAUUGGCCUAGGGUCUGCACCAAGUUUCUUCUAUGUUGGAAAUGAUGGAUUGCUGUUUACAAGAGGCACUUUGAGGGCUGAUAGAAAUAUGGAAUACACUUUGAGAGUGAUAGCUUAUGAUAGUCUGACUCCCAACCAACAAGCAACAGCUGAUGUGGCCAUCAGUGUUCUACGUAAUGUGAAUACACCUGUAUUCCAACCCCCAUCAUACACGCAGACAAUUCCUGAAGAUACGGCUGUUGGAUCAUUUAUCCUCAAAGUAACUGCAACAGAUCAGGAUAAUGAUUAUCUGACAUACACUUUGACUGGAGACACAAACAGUGGCUGUGAAGAGACAUUCUAUAUCCGUGGCGACAAUGGCCAGAUUCAUCUGCAGAGAUCUGUCCUUAACAACGGUGCCGUCUCCUACUCUUGCCGAGUGAAUGUUAAUGAUAAUGGUUACCCCUCCAAUAAUAUUGCAACGGCCAGUGUUAACAUCUUUAUCACACGUGACCUUGCUAUGCCUGUGUUCACCAGCAACGCACGUUACCUGGUGACAAUCAAUGAGGAUGAAGAAAUCAAUAACAGUAUCAUCAAGGUUACUGCUACACGACAGGGACUUAUUAACUCGAUAGAGUACAGGGAGAUUGGUGACUACCCUGCUCAAAGUUUCUUCAGUGUGGAUCCAGAAGAUGGAGAUAUCCGUGUCCAACAAAAUCUUCGCAAUGAUGGACUCAGACUCGGUUCUUACACGCUGAGAGUUGUGGCUUAUGAUACAGGAGCACCACGUCUUUCUGCAACUGCUGAAGUGUUUAUCACUGUGCUUAGGAACUUGAACGGACCAGUGUUUAAUCCGCAAAUCUACAGAGUUACCAUUGAUGAGACAACAGCAGUUGGACAGUACAUCCAGAAGCUUACUGUCUCAGAUCCUGAUGGUGAUGUUCUUACAUGCAGUUUGACAACGGAAUCCGGAAGUACUGUGGGAAAUAAUUUCAGAACGUACUUCCAGGUUGAUGCAGAUAGUUGUUUUGUCUACGUCAACACAGAUCUUGUGUCAGAUAACAGUGAUAGACAGGAAUAUACUUUGACAGUAAGAGCCUCAGACAACCGUGCCACAAAUCCCCAGUCCACAACAGCGACGGUCAUUGUGACUGUUCUGCGAGAUCUGCAGCCACCACGAUUUACUAACAUACCAGCUUCACUCGAUCUGGAUGAAAAUACAGCUAUUGAUAGGUCUAUCUAUGAAGUCAACGCAGUGGAUGAUGACCUUGAGGGUGUAAUUGUGUAUGGUUUGGAUGGAUUGUUCCCAGUUCAAAGUUUUAUCACCGUUGAUUCAAAUACUGGUGUAGUAAAUCUGAGAAACAGUCUGCUUUCUGACACUACACAGAACACAGUCUACACUGCUCGAUUCACAGCGUACGAUAGUGCAAACCCCCGCCAGGUAGCGACUGCUGAUCUUACCAUACGUGUGCUGAGAAACCAGAAUGGCCCCGUGUACAACCCAUCUAUCUACAGGGAAACUAUUGCCGAUACAUACGAAGUUGGCAGGGUUGUGAUUCAGCUUACUGCUAAUGAUGCUGACGGUGAUGAUGUGUAUUACAUUCACCAAGGUGACAAUACUGACCAGGAAUUCUUCUAUGUUAGUCCCUCGACAGGGGAUAUAACUCUGAGGAAACCAUUGUCUGGAUCCUUCAGAAACACAUUUACAUUCACCGUCCGUGCAGUGGAUGACAGACCAAUAGGUGUACAGAGGAAUGCCGAUGCUACUGUCGAGAUAAAUGUACUCCGGGAUAGCGCUCCACCACGAUUUGUCAAUACUCCAUAUAGCACACAAGUUCCAAUCAACCAGGCUAUCAAUGUUACUUUCUUCAGUGUUCGUGCAAUUGACACUGAUCUCAAGGGAGAGAUCCGUUAUAGACUUGAUGGAUUUGCACCUGGCACCAACUAUUUCGGUUUGAAUGUGCUCACAGGAGAUAUUUACGUUACCAGCAAUUUACGGCAGAAUAACGUCAACCUUUAUCAGUCCUUCACAUUACUGGUUACUGCCUAUGAUACCGGAGCACCAGUUGCAGAGGUUACAGAGACAGUUUUAAUCACCAUCAAUAGAAACUUGAAUUCUCCAGUGUUUGACGAACUGAGCUACGAGACCACAAUUUACGAUUUUAACCCUAUUGGUACAAGCGUAAUUACUGUGAAUGCAGAAGAUGCUGAUAUUACCAGCCCAGAGAACCUCGUCUCUUAUGAUCUGGAUGAUUUCACGAACAAUAACUUGUUUGGCAAUAUGUUUAGCAUUCACCCUUCUACUGGACUGAUCACCACCAAUAGAGCCCUCACUUCAGAAAAUGUUAAUACGUACAGAUUGCGUGUAACAGCAGAGGACUUGGCCUUCCCAUCCAGAAGUGCAACAGUAUCGGUUGUUGUGAAUGUUAUAAGGAACAGUGUAACUCCAACUUUCAUCAACACAGGAAGCUACGAUAUUACAAUCAGUGAUGACAAACCAGUCCUUGAAGCAAUUCUUAACGUAACAGCACGUGAUACUGACGAGGGUAUCAAUGGUAUAAUCCGAUACAGCAUUAACCCCAACCAACCUGAAGCUAACAUUUUUGGCAUUAAUGCGGACACUGGUGUGAUCUUUGCCCGUGUUUCUCUUCUAGAAACAACAGAAGACAUCUACAGGUUCACUGUAACAGCAACUGACCAUGGUGUAGUCCCAAGAUCAUCAGAUGCCUCAGUAACAAUCCGUAUUGCACGUGAAGGUGACCCGUUCUUCCAGGACAAUGAGUAUGAAGUUAGCAUCCCAGAAGACCAGCUUGUUGGAACACAGGUGUUUGAUCUGGACGCAGUUGAUCCAAGGGCUGGUAGUGUACUGGUGUAUGAUAUCUACGGCGACGGUGAUGCCAACACUCAGUUCAAGAUCAAUGCUGACACAGGUGUGAUCACACUGGCAGUGUCCCAGCUGAAUAAUGAUGUCAACUCGUAUUUGUUGCGUGUGAGAGCAUACAGACGGGAUUUUACGACUGAACAAGCAACCACAAUUGUCCGCGUGUACAUCAUACGCAAUGCUGCUGCUCCAGUCUUCCAACAUGGAGAUCUCACGUAUACGCUGUCUGAAGAUCAAGCUCCUGGUGUAUCAUUUGGAGGUGUUGAUGCCGUGGAUGCAGAUUCAGGAAGGAAUGGUUUAGUACAAUACUCCAUUCGUGCAUCAGAUGCUGUACCAGAUCAGGCUCCAGACUACUUCUUUGUUAACCCCAGUUCAGGUGUACUGUUUGCAAAGAAACCUCUCACAGAUGAUACAGACCAACCAGAGAGUUACAGGUUCUUUGUAGUAGCAGCUGAUCAAGGAGUACCAAGCAGGUCGGCUGCAAUUCGUGUCACAGUUCUGAUCAGAAGGAACAGGAAUGGUCCAUUGUUCAGGUCUGACGAGUAUGAAGAAACUAUCGAUGAGUUUACAUCAGUUGGAGUUAGUGUAUUGCGCGUUGUUGCUGAUGAUGCUGACAAUCACCCAAUAAGGUACGACAUUCUGGCCAGCUCAUCUGGAAACUUGUACUUUGAUAUCAAUGAAGCAACUGGCGUAAUCAGCGUAAAUGGCAUUCUCACAGAAACAGGAGUUACUCAGUUUGUGAUGACUGUACGCGCCACAGAUAACCCAGGUCCUAAUGCUGUUGCACGUUCUGACACUGCACGAGUCACUAUAAAUGUGCUGAGGAACCCCAAUGGUCCUACAUUCACGUCAAAUACUUACAACGUCACUAUCUCAGAGUACCUGCCAGUCCAGGCAUCUGUUAUCAGAACUAUUGCAAAUGAUCUAGAUCCAGCAAAUACUCCAAGUGGAACAAUACGUUACAGUAUUCAGUCACAUAGUUACACAGCCCCCGGCGGUCUUGAACAGUUUGUUAUCAGUCCUACUGAAGGCAGUAUCUACUUGAGCAGGCCGCUCACCAAGACUGGUAUACCAGAUCAAUUUACGUUAAUUGUAGCUGCUACAGAUGAGGCAUCUAUUCCAAAAUCUGCCACGGCAACAGUAUACAUCGAUAUUGUACGUAACCAGUACACACCAACCUUCAACCAGGAAGAGUACACGGCAGCCAUCACAGACGUCUGGAAUGUAGGCACGUACUUGUUCACAGCAACAGCCAUCGAUGAUGACAGACAAGUAACAUUGAGCAAGGAUACACCAAACGCAGAGUUGGACUACUUUAUUGAUGAUAAUGAGUAUGCCUAUGAAACACAAUUCUUUGACAUUAACAAUGAUGGCGUUCUGUAUGUAAUAGGAGAUCUCCAAAAAGCGGAUGGCAGGAGCCAGUUCAAGUUCUACAUCAUUGCUGUUGACCGCAGUUGGAAGCCACUCAGUAGCCGUGCCUUGGUUACAAUUGACAUGACAUACACUAAUAUUGAGAGGAGACUGGGUUUCUCUGUACCCUCGACUUAUCUCAGCGUGAUAGAGAACUAUGAUUACCUUGCAAAUCCUUUAAUAGCUACAUUGGGUGUAAGAAACAAAGUCAAUACUUAUGCGUGCAGAAUCCUUUUCAUCAAUGGCAAUGGAGUGUCUCUAGGAAAUCCAGACUUCAACUUAUUCCAAGUGACAACAUUACCUGGUGGUGAUUGUCGUCUCGAAGUUAUUGGAGUUCUCGACAGAGAGUACAGACAAUUCUGGAAUAUCACCAUUGGCAUAAAUGAUAACAUACGUACAAAGAGACAGACAGAAACAGAAUUAGUACCAGUUUACCCAUCAUACGCAGUUACUUUUGUGUACAUAACACUGACUGAUGCCAACGAUAAUAACCCAAGUUUUGUGUACCCAGUAUAUCCAUCAGUGGCCUCCCUACAGGACAGGAACUUCUAUAUUGGUGCCAUCUCUAUACUGUCUCAGAGUGUUGUUACACCUGUUACGCUCCAUGCAACUGAUCCAGAUUUAGAAGAGAAUGGCUUGGUGGAAUAUAGCAUUGCAGGCAUUAAUAAUGAAAUUAUCCCAUUCAUUGUUGAUCCCAUCGAGGGAUUGAUUAUACCUACACAAGAGUUUAUACCCCGCGAAGUCAAGCAGUAUGAAUUCAACGCCAAAGCUCUGGACUCUCCAAGCAGUGGUGAACGUCUGUCUGCCGAGACAACUGUUAUUAUCAACAUCAUUGAGGACAUAAAUCGAUUUAUUUUGGUACUGGACACUGGAAACCCUGAUGUCAAUGAAGAGCGUGAAAGUAUCCGCCAAGGUCUUCAGAACCAGUUACAGAGAAUAGUUCUAAUCGAGCGCGUUAACUACAAACGUUAUCUCACCAGUGGAACACUUUCCGUAGAUAAAACACGAACUGAUGUAACAUUUGUUGUUGUUAACCAUCUGGCGAGAGAGUACACCUUGUAUGAGAAUGAUAAUAAUCAACUCAAUAUUGUCACACAGUCAUCUGGAGCAUCGGUUACCUUCCUUAAUAACUUGAGAACUGAACUCCGUUCCUUUGCCAGCAUUGACAGUAUUAGGGUGCCAUUUGCAAGUGAGAACAUCCUGGGUGUCUCCGAUGAAUUGAUUCUCAACAACAGAGCUCGCCCAACCAAAUCAUAUGUGUGGUGGACAAAUGAUCCAUGGGCUGGUUUUGUUGCUCUUGCUGCCAUCAUUAUAUUGCUAGGACUGAUCGCCUUGACCGUACUUCUCUACCAGUGGAACAGGUACAGUAAUUACUUGAACAAUUACCGUGUGUAUCACCGCAACUAUGAACAUCAGCCAGACUUCACCAACCCACCCAGCUUCCUUAAAGAAUAUGAAACUCAGCAGACACUGGACAUGUACAUGCCACCUGAUGAGGCUGUCCAAGAUGUCGGAGAGGUGAACCUUGCGUUCAGCCGCAAUGAUACAGCCCGCCGCACUGGUGAAGUACAACGUAUCUCUACCAGGAACCCCGUCUACGACAACUCCCAGUACCACGUUAAGGUUGGCCAAGUCCACUACUAACAGAUUUUGACUCCCAGCAAUGUAGAAGUACCAGGCAAUGUUUACCAUGUUACUAUGGGUCAAGGCAGCGUCAGUCGACCAAUAUUAACUGAUGGUGAAAAUACCGUAGUCUACACUGCCAAUUAGACCAUGGACUUUUCAAUUUUGACACUUUACAAUAUGAGGACAUUUAAAAACUGUACAUAAUAAAAUUUAAGAAAAAAAAUAACCAAAGGUUAAUUGAACAGUCUAUUUUGUGCUCAAAUUUAAUGGAAAGAAAAUACUUACACGCCGAGAAUGAUUUCAACACAACAUAGUUCCGUGGAAAAAAUGUUAAAAAAAAAAAGAUUGAAAAAAAAAAAGUUUAAAUAUAUAUCUUUACAUGUAGCAUAGUUAAUGUAGUUUAGUACUUUCUUAUGUGCUUCUGUAAAAUACUGCUGCCUUCUGAUCUCUUGUUAUAUAUUGGGUAAAUAUUAUAUAUUAUAAUACUUUGUUACCUGCAUAAUUUAAGAAUUUGCAUAAUGUGAAAGUUUAUUUACACCACUUUUUCAUUGCAGAGAUAUUGCAUAUGUUUAUAUUCAUGUUGAAAUGUUACCAUUUUUGAAGAUGUAUUUUGUACCUUUUGGAUAUUUUUUUCUGUCAUUUAAAUUUUUGACUGUUAAGAAAUAAUGCUCAUUAUAUUGCAAUGACAAUUAUUUUUGUUACUUUUUGAAAUGAGAGAUUAUGUGUUCUUUAUAAUUAUACAUUGUUACAUACAGUCACCUGUAGUAAAGUAUAAUGGAAGUGCUAUCAAUAGUUGUUAAAAUAUUUACUAUUAAAGGCAUUUAUUUGUUUUACAUGCUCACUCUACUUUCACUUAACCAUAAAAUAUUCGUAAUAAACUCUUUUCUACCUUUAA